rnacentral:lncRNA from 1 species
ACUAGUCCUUGUCCUCCACGUAGACCACGCCGUCCUGCACCAUAGUCUCCAUGUCUGACACGUCUUGGUGUAUAGCCCAUAUCUAGGAUGUCCAAGUCUCCUGGUGGGCCCAUAGAUGUAUGGCUGAUAGCGCCAUCAAUACAAAUGACUGGGCGACAUCAUUGAAAAGCCUCAAUGCAAAGACCGAAGGCUCUGCAGAACCUAUUUGCCUGGAUUCUGAGCACAGGGAUAGGCUUCCAAGUCGUAGUAUCUUUCUGGAUUCCUCAGGCAUAUGGUGUGCAACAGAGCAGGGAGUUAUCAUACAAUGCUUCAUAUGUACCCCACUUCAUCUCUAACACCUUCUGCUUGGCUCGGUAAGCCUUGUAGUAGCUAAUUUUGCACUUGAACUUCUCCUCUAUGGCACAAAUAAUCAACUUGGGCUCAUAGUCAGGAUUCUCGACUAUUUGAAGAUACAUGUAUUGAGCAACAAAAUCAGAAGUGAGGUUGUGGUGUUGUGCUUCCAAUUCAUCCACCAUGCAUUCAUGCUCCACCACUCUAGUCACCUCCCAGUAAUCCUUCCACUUGCCCUUGUAUGUGUGCACCCUAAACGGGCAAUUGCUUUCGACACAACACACAUCAUAUAAUGUCGGGUUGCUCUUCACCACCCUGAACUACCGUUGCAAAGAUAAAGUCGACCAUCGCUUUAUAGCUGCCUUCACCUCAUCCCCACUAGGGUACAAAGCACCGACACAAACCUCAUUCUUCCUAUACUCCAAAUGGACAUUUUCCCCUUCAUUGACUGUUAGGUUCAAAUGGUCAUAACUUGACCAGUUCUGCGGGACAUGAUUAGCAUCAUCCUCAUCUGACGAGUCAUCAUCCAUGGCACAAAGGUGCUGUUUUCCUUCCCUCUCUACCUGCUCAACUAACCUAGGGAUGUGUUCCCUCUCAUCAGCCUCACCAUUUGACUCACGGGGUGCCUCUUCAUCCUCUGCAUCUCCUUCUUCUAUCACAUCUUCAAUAUCUUCUUCAGUUUGCCCAUCGGUAAUCUACAGACCUUCCUCACCUCUAACUUCCCCACCACUAGCUUCUUCUUGCAACUAACUGCUAGACCCAAUCUUCAGGAACACUUCAACAAACAAUAUAAGCGGUAAACCGUGCUCAGUAGUAGCAUUUACAUAGGCCCUCCAGUUCUAGGUUCCUUCAAGUGGCAUCAACUCCCAAAAUAUUAUGUCAGUUGGAAACCUCACUACAGCCCUAACAGAUAGCUCAACUUGAUCUCUAUCAAGAUUGAAAGCCUUAAAUGGCCAGUUGCAUAUUGAUGUCUAAGUCCUCUCUCUUGCUCUUGGUACUUGUUUGCAAAACGACUUAAAUUCAGACAAAUCUACCCCUUUGAACCAUAUCUAACCUCCCCCGGACCAUAGAACACUUGGAAAAAUAAACUUUCCAACAUGUCUGUCAAUAUACACGACAUAAACAGACAUUAUUACUAAAUGCUAUUAAUUUGAACUAACCCCAAAAACACCUACAUUCUGAAUAACUAUUGACUACUACAUCUACUAACUACGAGUUAAGAUAAACUGCGAGAUUUCAAAUAAUAUCUCAAGCGAAGCGAAGAUCCGCAAAGCUUCGCUUCAAUCUCCACCCUCCUCUCCUCUCCUCUCCUCUCCUCUCCUCCCCUCCCUCCCUUUCUUUCUAUUCUCCCAGUUCCUCUCCUCCCUCACU